GAAAGUAAUUAAGGGCGCAUGGCGGAUGCCUUGGCUCAUGGAGGCGAUGAAGGACGUGAUAAGCUGCGAUAAGCUGCGGUAAGGUGCAAAUAACCUUCGACCCGCGGAUUUCCGAAUGGGACAACCCAAACACUUUAUGUGUUUAUCACUUAAAGAUUAAGUGAGGCAAACGCAGGGAACUGAAACAUCUUAGUACCUGUAGGAAAAGAAAAUAAACUAAUGAUUCCCCUAGUAGUGGCGAGCGAACGGGGAUUAGCCCAAACCUUCAUUGUAUUUGCAUUGAAGGGGUUGUAGGACCACGUUGUUGUACUUUGAUUGUGAGAAGAAUAUUUUGGAAAGAAUAACCAUAGCGGGUGAUAGUCCCUUAUUCGAAGCAUGAGAAGACAUAGUGUACUCCUGAGUAGUGCGGGACACGAGUAAUCCUGUAUGAAUCUGCCGGGCCCAUCCGGUAAGGCUAAAUACUCCCAUGAGACCGAUAGCGUACCAGUACCGUGAGGGAAAGGUGAAAAGAACUUCGAUAAGAAGAGUGAAAUAGAUCCUGAACCCAUGCGCCUACAAGCGGUCGGAGCAUUUUAUAAUGUGACGGCGUGCCUUUUGCAUAAUGAACCUACGAGUUACCGUCACCAGCAAGGUUAAUCCUCUUGAGUGGAGCAACCGCAGUGAAAGCGAGCCUUAACAGGGCGUAUUAAGUUGGUGGUGGUAGACGCGAAACCAAGUGAUCUACACUUGUCCAGGAUGAAGUUCCGGUAACACGGAAUGGAGGUCCGAACCAAUAAGCGUUGAAAAGCUUCUGGAUGAGGUGAGUGUAGGAGUGAAAGGCCAAUCAAACUUGGAGAUAGCUCGUACUCCCCGAAAGGCAUUUAGGUGCCGCGUACAAUGUUUUUCUUAAGAGGUAGAGCGACCGAUAGGUCAAGAGGGCUUCACCGCCUAUCGAGACCUGACGAACUCCGAAUGCUUAAGUUAUGAAGUUGUGCAGUAAGGGGGCGGGUGCUAAGGUCCGUCCCCGAGAGGAGAAGAAUCCAGACCGUCGUUUAAGGUCCCCAAAUUCUGACUAAGUUAGUCUAACGAAGUCUGGUCCCCAUGACAGCCAGGAUGUUGGCUUGGAAGCAGCCAUUCAUUCAAAGAGUGCGUAACAGCUCACUGGUCGAGGGUCCGGGCAUGGAUAAUAAUCGGGUAUAAGUCAGAUACCGAAGGCGCGGGAUAGAAUUUAAAAAAGUAUCGGUAGGGGAGCAUUCCAUCAGCGUAGAAUGUUAGAGGACGACUCUAGCUGGAGCUUAUGGAAAAGCAAAUGUAGGUAUAAGUAACGAUAAGGAGGGUAAGAUUCCCUCCCGCCGUAAGACCAAGGUUUCCCGGGCAAUGUCAAUCACCCCGGGGUUAGUCGGGUCCUAAGUCUCAGCCGAAUGGCGAUGGCGAUGGUAGAAACGGUUAAUAUUCCGUUACUGCUUUAAUGAGUGAUGGGCAGACGAAGAAGUGACACCACCGCGAGGCGACGGAAGUCCUCGUUAAAGAGUGUAGGAGUUGAUGAGCGCAGGCAAAUCCACGUUCAGAUCCGACCUUGAUAGUAUAGAAUACUACUCGUAGUAUUUUAAUAGUGUGGGUAAUCCUGCUUCCAAGAAAAUGCUCUAAACAUAUUGUUAAAGCACCCGUACCGUAAACGGACACACGUAGUCGGGUAGAAUAUACUAAGGCGUUGAGAGAUUCAUGGUUAAGGAACUAGGCAAAUUGACCCCGUAACUUCGGGAUAAGGGGUCCUCAUGUUUAAUGAGGCGCAGAGAAUCGGUCCAGGCAACUGUUUAACAAAAACACAGGGCUGUGCUAACUCGAAAGAUGAUGUAUACAGUCUGACACCUGCCCGGUGCUGGAAGGUUAAGAGGAGAGCUUAUUCUUCGGAAGACGGUUUGAAUUGAAGCCCCAGUAAACGGCGGCCGUAACUAUAACGGUCCUAAGGUAGCGAAAUUCCUUGUCGGGUAAGUUCCGACCUGCACGAAUGG
rnacentral:rRNA from 1 species